rnacentral:rRNA from 1 species
AAUACAUUUUUGAAGCAAUUAGCUUGCUAAGAGUGGAAAUGUUGUAUUCUUAGUGGCGGACGGGUGAGUAACGCGUGGAUAACCUGCCUCACACUGGGGGAUAACAGCCAGAAAUGGCUGCUAAUACCGCAUAAGCGCACAGCAUCGCAUGAUGUGGUGUGAAAAGCGUCAGUGGUGUGAGAUGGAUCCGCGUCUGAUUAGCUAGUUGGUAGGGUAAGAGCCUACCAAGGCGACGAUCAGUAGCCGGCCUGAGAGGGUGAACGGCCACAUUGGGACUGAGACACGGCCCAAACUCCUACGGGAGGCAGCAGUGGGGGAUAUUGCACAAUGGGGGAAACCCUGAUGCAGCGACGCCGCGUGAGUGAAGAAGUAUUUCGGUAUGUAAAGCUCUAUCAGCAGGGAAGAAAAUGACGGUACCUGACUAAGAAGCCCCGGCUAACUACGUGCCAGCAGCCGCGGUAAUACGUAGGGGGCAAGCGUUAUCCGGAUUUACUGGGUGUAAAGGGAGCGUAGACGGCAAGACAAGCCAGAUGUGAAAGGCAGGGGCUCGACCCCUGGACUGCAUUUGGAACUGCCUGGCUAGAGUGUCGGAGAGGUAAGUGGAAUUCCUAGUGUAGCGGUGAAAUGCGUA